GUACUAAUAAUAAUAAUAAAGGCACAAAGAAUUACUAAAAACACAAAAAACAAAAACAGAUUAUACCCCAACUCAACUGACUUUAAUAUCAAAAAGAAAAUAUCACUAAAUACGGAAACAAAGGCAAGAAACUAAACUGAAUGGGAAGGUUUUGGUAUUUUGAUAAGUAACAGUAGUAAUGGUGUACAGCUGGGAAAAACGAAAAUAAAUAAUAAAAGUUUUACCAAAAACUCAGUGACCCAAAAAGCAAUUAAUGGGUGGGAGUGAUAAAGAGCAAUUCACAUUUUAUGAAGAAAACAAAAACAGAACAGAAUAGAAAGAGCGGAAACAAAGUACAAAACUGAUAAAAUCUUUUGGCUGGGCUUUGCAAGUUACUAUAAAAUAAAUUAUUCCGGCUGAAAAGAAACCCAAUGAGAGCAAAAGGCAACUUUUUUAGAAGAUAAAGAGAGAAAAAGAAACGUAGCAUUGAGAAGAAAUGAAUGAAGUGCAAUGUGUGUAACAUGGGAGCAGGUUAAAAAGGAGGAAUAAUAAUUGAAGCCAGGCUUACUCUUCAAUGCAUGAUUGACGUGAACAUGCCAUAUGUAUAUUGUAUCCAUCAUCUCCUCUACAUAUAUGUAUAUAGAUAUCCUUAAUAUUUGUUUAUAUUUAUUUAUACGUAAUAUGGUUUGAUUAUUUAUGAUUCUUCACAUUUGAAAUGUGUCAGAUUCUGACACAAACACAUAUAUCCAAACACAUGGACUAAGAUGUAUCAAUGCGUGUGACUUGUCAAAGAAACCGAAGGCUGACAGACGCUUUGGCCUUGGUUGAGUUUGUGACUUGUUUUUUUUGUUGAGCCAAUUUUAUGGAAUUCUUAACAGUAACUGCAACCGAAUCUUGGCAGAGAAUAUAAAUAUAUAUAUGUACAAAUUUUUUUUUUUUUAAUUUCUUCUUUAUUUUGACCAUCAUAAUCACAAUAAAAAGGAUAUAUUUAAAACCCUAUAUAAACGAUUUAAUGAUAAAGGUGAGCAUAUAGCCAACUAUAAACUGUUUUUUAUUAUAUUCUAAAUGUAACUCAAUUUUCUUCUUAUCUAGAGUUCAAAUAUCAGACCUACUAUUUUCAUUCAAACGAAAGCUUUUCGGUACUAAUAAUAAUAAUAAAGGCACAAAGAAUUACUAAAAACACAAAAAACAAAAACAGAUUAUACCCCAACUCAACUGACUUUAAUAUCAAAAAGAAAAUAUCACUAAAUACGGAAACAAAGGCAAGAAACUAAACUGAAUGGGAAGGUUUUGGUAUUUUGAUAAGUAACAGUAGUAAUGGUGUACAGCUGGGAAAAACGAAAAUAAAUAAUAAAAGUUUUACCAAAAACUCAGUGACCCAAAAAGCAAUUAAUGGGUGGGAGUGAUAAAGAGCAAUUCACAUUUUAUGAAGAAAACAAAAACAGAACAGAAUAGAAAGAGCGGAAACAAAGUACAAAACUGAUAAAAUCUUUUGGCUGGGCUUUGCAAGUUACUAUAAAAUAAAUUAUUCCGGCUGAAAAGAAACCCAAUGAGAGCAAAAGGCAACUUUUUUAGAAGAUAAAGAGAGAAAAAGAAACGUAGCAUUGAGAAGAAAUGAAUGAAGUGCAAUGUGUGUAACAUGGGAGCAGGUUAAAAAGGAGGAAUAAUAAUUGAAGCCAGGCUUACUCUUCAAUGCAUGAUUGACGUGAACAUGCCAUAUGUAUAUUGUAUCCAUCAUCUCCUCUACAUAUAUGUAUAUAGAUAUCCUUAAUAUUUGUUUAUAUUUAUUUAUACGUAAUAUGGUUUGAUUAUUUAUG
rnacentral:lncRNA from 1 species